rnacentral:rRNA from 1 species
CUGGGACUGAAACACGGCCCAAACUCCUACGGGAGGCAGCAGUAGGGAAUCUUCCGCAAUGGACAAAAGUCUGACGGAACAACCCCCCGUGAGUGAUGAAGGUUUUCGGAACUAAACUCUGUUGUUAGGGAAAAAAAUCCGUUCAAUAGGGGGUCCUUGACGGACCUAACCAGAAACCACGGCUAACUACGUGCCGCAGCCGCGGUAAUACGUAGGUGGAAGCGUUGUCCGGAUUAUUGGGCUAAAGGGCUCGAGGCGGUUUCUUAAGUCUGAUUGAAAGCCCCGGCUCAACCGGGGGGGUCUUGGAACUGGGAAUUGAUGCAAAAAGGAAGUGGAUUCCACGGUAGCGUGAAUGCUAGAGAUUGGAGAACCCAUGGCGAGGCACUCUUGGCUGAACGACCUGAGAGCAAGCGGGGACAACAGAUAAAACCUGUAUCCCGCGUAACAUGAUGCAAUGUAGGGGUUCCCCCUAUGCGCACUACCAUAACAUCCGCGGGAGACGUCCAGAUGAAUCAAGAUUACGGG